rnacentral:rRNA from 1 species
UACGAAGGGGGCUAGCGUUGUUCGGAAUUACUGGGCGUAAAGCGUGUGUAGGCGGCCAUAUAAGUCGGAUGUGAAAGCCCUGGGCUCAACCCAGGAAGUGCACUCGAUACUGUAUGGCUUGAGUACUGGAGAGGUUGGUGGAAUUCUCGGUGUAGAGGUGAAAUUCGUAGAUAUCGAGAGGAACACCGGUGGCGAAGGCGGCCAACUGGACAGAUACUGACGCUGAGACACGAAAGCGUGGGGAGCAAACAGG